rnacentral:rRNA from 1 species
UUUAAUUUCGAUGCAACGCGAAGAACCUUACUACUCUUGACAUCCAGAGAAUCCUGCGGAGACGCGGGAGUGCCUUCGGGAACUCUGAGACAGGUGCUUGCAUGGCUGUCGUCAGCUCGUGUUGUGAAAUGUUGGGUUAAGUCCCGCAACGAGCGCAACCCUUAUCCUUGUUUGCCAGCGAGUAAUGUCGGGAACUCCAGGGAGACUGCCGGUGAUAAACCGGAGGAAGGUGGGGACGACGUCAAGUCAUCAUGGCCCUUACGAGUAGGGCUACACACGUGCUACAAUGGCGCAUACAGAGGGCAGCGAACUUGCGAGAGUAAGCGAAUCCCAAAAAGUGCGUCGUAGUCCGGAUUGGAGUCUGCAACUCGACUCCAUGAAGUCGGAAUCGCUAGUAAUCGUGAAUCAGAAUGUCACGGUGAAUACGUUCCCGGGCCUUGUACACACCGCCCGUCACACCAUGGGAGUGGGCUGCAAAAGAAGCAGG